UACAGAGGUCUCAAGCGUUGUUCGGAUUCAUUGGGCGUAAAGGGUGUGUAGGUGGCGCCGUAAGUCGGGUGUGAAAUUUCGGAGCUUAACUCCGAAACUGCAUUCGAUACUGCGGUGCUUGAGGACUGGAGAGGAGACUGGAAUUCACGGUGUAGCGGUGAAAUGCGUAGAUAUCGUAAGGAAGACCAGUGGCGAAGGCGGGUCUCUGGACAGUUCCUGACGCUGAGGCACGAAGGCCAGGGGAGCAAACGGG
rnacentral:rRNA from 1 species